GACGAACCGUGCGAACGUUGUUCGGAAUCACUGGGCUUAAAGCGCGUGUAGGCGGGACGGCACGUCGGUCGCUGAAAGCCCCCGGCUCAACCGGGGAACGGGCGCCGAUACGACCGCCCUGGAGGGACGUAGGGGGACCUGGAACUUCCGGUGGAGCGGUGAAAUUCGUAGAUAUCGGGAGGAACACCGGUGGCGAAGGCGGGUUGCUGGGCUGACACUGACGCUGAGGCGCGAAAGCCAGGGGAGCGAACGGG
rnacentral:rRNA from 1 species